GCGGCAAUAGCGCGGUGGUCCCACCUGACCCCAUGCCGAACUCAGAAGUGAAACGCCGUAGCGCCGAUGGUAGUGUGGGGUCUCCCCAUGCGAGAGUAGGACACUGCCAGGC
rnacentral:rRNA from 2 species